rnacentral:rRNA from 1 species
UGCAAGUCGAACGCUUGCCCGGCUUUGGCCGGGCGGGAGUGGCGCACGGGUGAGUAGCGCGUGGGAACCUGCCCUGUUGUGGGGGAUAACCGAGGGAAACUUCGGCUAAUACCGCAUGCGCCCGGGGAAACCCGGGGAAAGAUUUAUCGCAGCAGGAGGGGCCCGCGUCGGAUUAGCUAGUUGGCGGGGUAACGGCCCACCAAGGCAGUGAUCCGUAGCUGGUCUGAGAGGAUGAUCAGCCACACUGGGACUGAGACACGGCCCAGACUCCUACGGGAGGCAGCAGUGGGGAAUAUUGGACAAUGGGCGCAAGCCUGAUCCAGCAAUGCCGCGUGAGUGAUGAAGGCCUUAGGGUUGUAAAGCUCUUUCGCCCGCGACGAUGAUGACGGUAGCGGGAGAAGAAGCCCCGGCUAACUUCGUGCCAGCAGCCGCGGU